CAGAUAUUUGGGUUGGCUGCUUCGGGUCAGGUUGGCAUGCUUUCCGUAAUUGGAGGUGGAAACCUCAAAGCUACUACCUGGAGGCUGACGAGCUCCACAAUAUCCAGUGAUUUACCCGUGCAGUUCAACUGGGCUGGGUGAGGGGUCAAAAGAGCUUUCAAGGAUCUUCUUCUGAAGAACAUCAUUUUCAGGUGACCGCCUUUUCAAAAUUCAAAAACGGUACCCCUGUGUGACAGGAUAGCGUGUGUGAUGACGUCAGGCCAGAAGCAGGAACUGAAACAGAUACUGCAGAUAUCUUCGAGAGUUUCCUGGAUCACCCCCCGCUGAUCCUGCCUAAUGAGGUGUCUCAGCUGGGGUUGGGAGAGCCAAUCACGUCGCAGGAGCUGCAGCAGGAAGUGCAGAGGAUCUGAGCCUUCCUAUUGGACCUGGAACAGGAAGCCCUGCCGGCCAAUCAGAGGAUACAGCUGUGAGAAGAGAGCCAAUCGGAGCAGUGGGCGACAGAGGCAGCCAAUCAGGAAGGAGAAUGUGGAUUCUGGGGAUAAAGGGGGUGCCUGUCUGUACAUCCGUCUGUCUGUCAACAUGUAUAUGGAGAACCACUGAUCCCAUUGUCAUGACACUGGCUGUUAACAUUAUUUAGAGAAGCGCUGAUCCCAUUGUCAUGACACUGGCUAUUCACAUUAUCUAGCAGAAGAUAUUGAGAAUAUCAGAUUGUGGGGAUAUAGGGGGUAUCUGUCUGUCUGUCCAUACAUCCGCCCACCAGUCUCACAUUUUUGCAUAUGUCAGGAGAAACGCUUAUCAAUUUCCAUUAAACUCUUCAUUGUCAUUUCUUAUCCUGCACUGUUCUGUACAUGCUGUUGAUACACGUGACGGACAUUGACGUUUUCCUCUCACUGAGAGCUCUGAUUGUGAAUGUGCAGCCGUGGCGAUGGGGAGUGGAGGUAACUGACAGGCUGGUUUAUGUUGCUGGGAUGGGGAGUUGAGGUCACUGACAGGCUGGUGUAUAUUGCUGGGAUGGGGGGUGGAUGAUGUCACUGACAGGCUGGUUUAUAUUGCUGGGAUGGAUGAUGUCACUGACAGGCUGGUUUAUAUUGCUGGGAUGGGGGAUGGAUGAUGUCACUGACAGGCUGGUUUAUGUUGCUGGGAUGGGGGAUGGAUGAUGUCACUGACAGGCUGGUUUAUAUUGCUGGGAUGGGGGGUGGAUGAUGUCACUGACAGGCUGGUUUAUAUUGGUGGGAUGGGGGGUGGAUGAUGUCACUGACAGGUUGGUUUAUGUUGCUGGGAUGGGGGGUGGAUGAUGUCACUGACAGGCUGGUUUAUGUUGCUGGGAUGGGGGAUGGAUGAUGUCACUGACAGGCUGGUUUAUAUUGCUGAGAUGGGGGGUGGAUGAUGUCACUGACAGGCUGGUUUAUAUUGCUGAGAUGAUGGAUGGAUGUCACUGACAGGCUGGUUUAUAUUAACCUUUUGUAUUUUAAUAGCCUGUAGCUUUACCCUGAGCAUUGUAAACGUUUAUCAAUACUUUGUAAUCUUGCUAUUAGCUUAAAUAAAACUGUUACUUGUUAAUUCAAAAA